UACAGAGGUCCCAAGCGUUGUUCGGAUUCAUUGGGCGUAAAGGGUGCGUAGGUGGCGUCGUAAGUCGGGUGUGAAAUCUCGGGGCUUAACUCCGAAACUGCAUUCGAUACUGCGGUGCUUGAGGACUGGAGAGGAGACUGGAAUUUACGGUGUAGCAGUGAAAUGCGUAGAGAUCGUAAGGAAGACCAGUGGCGAAGGCGGGUCUCUGGACAGCAACUGACGCUGAGGCACGAAGGCCAGGGGAGCAAACGGG
rnacentral:rRNA from 1 species